CACGUAGGCGGCUAGGUAAGUCUGAUGUGAAAGCCCUGGACUCAAUCCAGGAAGUGCAUUGGAUACUGCUUAGCUAGAAUGCAGGGAGGGGUAAGCGGAAUUCCAGGUGUAGAGGUGAAAUUCGUAGAUAUCUGGAGGAACAACGGUGGCGAAGGCGGCUUACUGGACUGAUAUUGACGCUGAGGUGCGAAAGUGGUGGGGGAGCAAACG
rnacentral:rRNA from 1 species